rnacentral:rRNA from 1 species
GGUUAAGCGACUAAGCGUACACGGUGGAUGCCUAGGCAAUCAGAGGCGAUGAAGGACGUGCUAAUCUGCGAUAAGCGUCGGUAAGGUGAUAUGAACCGUUACAACCGACGAUUUCCGAAUGGGGAAACCCAGUGCAAUUCGUUGCACUAUCGUUUGAUGAAUACAUAGUCAAACGAAGCGAACCGGGGGAACUGAAACAUCUCAGUACCCCGAGGAAAAGAAAUCAACCGAGAUUCCCCUAGUAGCGGCGAGCGAACGGGGAGCAGCCCAGAGUCUUAAUCAGCAUUAGCAUCAGGAGAACGGUCUGGAAAGUCCGGCAGUAAAGGGUGAUAGCCCCGUAUCCGAAGGUGUUAGUGUUGUGAACUCGACGAGUAGGGCGGGACACGUGUUAUCCUGUCUGAAUAUGGGGGGACCAUCCUCCAAGGCUAAAUACUCCUGAUUGACCGAUAGUGAACCAGUACCGUGAGGGAAAGGCGAAAAGAACCCCGGCGAGGGGAGUGAAAUAGAACCUGAAACCGUG